AUUGAACGCUGGCGGCAGGCCUAACACAUGCAAGUCGAGCGGAUGAACGGUGCUUGCUCCUGGUUUCAGCGGCGGACGGGUGAGUAAUGCCUAGGAAUCUGCCUGGUUGUGGGGGAUAACGUCCUGAAACGGGCGCUCAUACCGCCUACGUCCUGAGGGAGCAAGUGGGGGAUCUUCGGACCUCACGCUCUCAGAUGAGCCUAGGUCGGAUUAGCUAGUUGGUGGGGUAAAGGCCUACCAAGGCGACGAUCCGUAACUGGUCUGAGAGGAUGAUCAGUCACACUGGAACUGAGACACGGUCCAGACUCCUACGGGAGGCAGCAGUGGGGAAUAUGGGACAAUGGGCGAAAGCCUGAUCCAGCCAGGCCGCGUGUGUGAAGAAGGUCUUCGGAUUGUAAAGCACGUUAAGUGGGGAGGAAGGGCAGUAAGUUAAUACCUUGCUGUUUUGACGUUACCAACAGAAUAAGCACCGGCUAACUUCGUG
rnacentral:rRNA from 1 species